GACGAACGCUGGCGGCGUGCCUAAUACAUGCAAGUCGAACGCACAGUUUAUACCGUAGCUUGCUACACCAUACACUGUGAGUUGCGAACGGGUGAGUAACGCGUAGGUAACCUGCCUGGUAGCGGGGGAUAACUAUUGGAAACGAUAGCUAAUACCGCAUAAUAUUGAUUAUUGCAUGAUAAUUGAUUGAAAGAUGCUAUUGCAUCACUACCAGAUGGACCUGCGUUGUAUUAGCUAGUAGGUGAGGUAACGGCUCACCUAGGCGACGAUACAUAGCCGACCUGAGAGGGUGAUCGGCCACACUGGGACUGAGACACGGCCCAGACUCCUACGGGAGGCAGCAGUAGGGAAUCUUCGGCAAUGGACGAAAGUCUGACCGAGCAACGCCGCGUGAGUGAAGAAGGGUUUCGGAUCGUAAAGCUCUGUUGUAAGAGAAGAACGGGUGUGAGAGUGGAAAGUUCACACUGUGACGGUAUCUUACCAGAAAGAGACGGCUAACUACGUG
rnacentral:rRNA from 1 species